ACUUCCCCACAAAUAAUUUCUAGAGCCUAUGGCCUGUGUUACACUGGAGGUCAGUCUAGAUGAUCACCAUGAUCCCACUGGGCCUUGGAAUUUAUGAAUCUAGGUUUGUUGAGACCUGGUCCAUUAUAGUACUUUUGCUUGGCUUUCUUAAUUGUUCAUGCUAGCUUUUACUGUGGCUAAUAUUAAACAUUGUUAAAAAAAAAAGAGGGGGGGUAUAUUCUGUUGAUAGUAAUGGAAGUUAACAUAUGUGUAGCAAGAGCAUUGGUAAACCCCUUCGGAGUUCACCUUUAGUAUGUUGCUGGUACAGGAGUAAUGAUGGAACAAUAGGACAGAGGUGUGACUGUAACUGUAGGAUUUAUUAUGACUUUACUGUAGCAAUUAAAACCAUUUCUCUCCCUUUGAAAAUGAUGGUUCUUGAAAGGGCCAGGAGACUUUUUAUUAAAAAAAAAAAA